GGGUAGGGGUCAGCCUGGCAAGGGUAGGGGCAGCCUGGCAAGGGUAGGGGGCAGCCUUGCAAGGGUAGGGGGCAGCCUGGCAAGGUUAAAGGUCAGCCUGGCAAGGGUAAGGGGCAGCCUGGCAAGGUUAAAGGUCAGCCUGGCAAGGGUAGGUGUCAGCCUGGCAAGAGUGGGGGCCAGCCUGGCAAGGUUAAAGGUCAGCCUGCAAGGGUAGGGGAUGAGCAGAUGCAGAGGCUUCUUUGGAAACCACAGGAUGAAGAAGUCAGGCCGACAGGGUGAGCUGCUCCCCUCCACCUGCCACAUUCUUCAGCCCAGAUGAUGGUCGGAGGCAAUGGCCAUUUGGACACUGAAGAGCACACGCCCAGCCUGACAUGUGCUUUCCGUUCAAGAUGCUUGUUUUCUUUUUCUUUCUUUUUUCUCUUUCUUUCUUUUUUUUUCUUUCUUUCUUUCUUUCUUUCUUUCUUUCUUUCUUUCUUUCUUUCUUUCUUUCUUUCUUCCUUCCUUUCUCUCUCUCUCUCUCUCUCUCUCUCUCUCUCUCUCUCUUUCUCUUUUCUUCUUCUUUUCUUUUUUGUUUUUGGAGACAGGGUUUCUCUGUGUAGCUUUGGCUGUCCUGUGUAGCUUUGGCUGUCCUGGAACUCACUCUGUUGACCAGUCUGGCUUGAACUCACAGAUCUGCCUGCCUCUGCCUCCCUAGGGCUGGGUUUAAAGGUGUGCGCUACCACACACACACAUGGCUAGGAUUUUUUUUUCCUUAGACAGGAUCUUACUAUAUAAACUUUGGUGGUCUGGAACUUCUGGACAUAGAACAGACUGACCUUGGACUCAGCUGCUUGUCUCUACC
rnacentral:lncRNA from 1 species